UUGCAAGUAGCUGUUUUGAGCUAUUGACCUCUUCUUUUGGGUGGGGUUCGCAAGAAGCAACUUAUGAGUGUAUGGAGUGACUAUUGCCUCAUCCAUCAAAUCCUCAAAAAUCGUAGCUGCUAGUCCAUAUACUUGUGAGUGGGAUAAGUUUUAUCCAUUGUUUAAGCAGUCAAACUGAAAUAGCUUCAUGAGAAUUAUCUAGUUCUUUAUUGUUUUGCAAUUUUGGGGAGGUCUUUUUGAAAGACUAACGCCAAGAAUGACAUUGAUGCAAGUUGUUUUUGGCAUAUUCUUGUUUUCAUCUCGAGCAAACUAAUAUCUGGUAGUUUGUUUAGCCUUGGUUGUGUGUGUGUGUAUUGAUUUCCGAGUAUGGGUGAAGGGGAGUUGCCAGAUCUUGCUUUUGUGUCUCUAUGGAUUUCCUAUCAUUUGUCUCCUGAUAGAUUAUUCUUUUAAUUUUUUGCCAUUGAAUGGAUGGUAAUUGUUCUGUUAAUCAUUUAACAGGUUUGCCUUAUCAAAAACUUUGAUGUUUACUCGCAAACUACCCUUAAUUUUAUGCAACUAUUUUGGUAUAUUUGAUAUCACCUAGACUUUUUAUGUCAUAAACUUGCUUUGUUGGAGUAUUGUCAUUUAACACCAUAGAGAAUGGAUUAUCUGAAGCUUUUUCUAAAUACAGCAAGUUGUUGAAGGUACCCUGAGAUUAGAUUACUGCAAUAUUUUUGAACUAACUUAUCAUAGAAAUAUUUUAUCAACUAGAGUUCUGCUCUUUUUGUUUUUCUGCAGUAAAAAUUGGAAGUGACAGAGUCACUGACAAAUCAAAAGGUUCCAGAUUUGUAACUUUUGAAUCUGAAGGUGAAGCACACACAGCUCUAACUGAGAUGAAUGGAAAGGUAAAUCACAAUUCUUCUCUUGUUUUGAUUUGACCAUGUUUAACUCAAAAGACCAGAAAUAACAAGUUGUCUGGCAGACACUGAAUGGAAGAAUUAUUUUCGUGAAUUAUGCAAAGCCUAUCUUAGAUUUGGUGAAGGAAUGCCUAUUGCUAGGGGGCCUCCUGAACCAUUUGAGAGUUGAACAAUGAUAUAUAAGCCUCAAGGACACUUGCAGAAAAAUCAAAUGCUCUGAAACCAACUCUCAGUUAAAAGCUUGUCCCCAUAUUCUAUCUUUUGUGCACAUGGGUAAAUUGAUCAUAAUAUGUUACACCAGAAUCUUGUGAUUUUAGAAUCCAGUGGCCAGUGGAUUACCAGUUGAAGACAAAACAGUGCUAGAUCUAGUUGUGUAAAGGUGGUGUUUUUAGACUUUUAAUGAGUUCCAGAUGUUAAUUGCUUAUUUUGAGAACCUUGAUAUUAUGAAUGCUAGUUAAGAUCUCUGAGGCCUGCCAAGAAUCACCAAAGAAAUUCUUCCCAGCAUUUUUGGAUACUGGAACAUUUAUUAUGACUUUCCG
rnacentral:misc_RNA from 1 species